rnacentral:rRNA from 1 species
AUGAACGCUGGCGGCGUGCCUAAUACAUGCAAGUCGAGCGAACAGACGAGGAGCUUGCUCCUCUGACGUUAGCGGCGGACGGGUGAGUAACACGUGGAUAACCUACCUAUAAGACUGGGAUAACUUCGGGAAACCGGAGCUAAUACCGGAUAAUAUAUCGAACCGCAUGGUUCAAUAGUGAAAGACGGUUUUGCUGUCACUUAUAGAUGGAUCCGCGCCGCAUUAGCUAGUUGGUAAGGUAACGGCUUACCAAGGCGACGAUGCGUAGCCGACCUGAGAGGGUGAUCGGCCACACUGGAACUGAGACACGGUCCAGACUCCUACGGGAGGCAGCAGUAGGGAAUCUUCCGCAAUGGGCGAAAGCCUGACGGAGCAACGCCGCGUGAGUGAUGAAGGUCUUCGGAUCGUAAAACUCUGUUAUUAGGGAAGAACAAAUGUGUAAGUAACUAUGCACGUCUUGACGGUACCUAAUCAGAAAGCCACGGCUAACUACGU